rnacentral:lncRNA from 1 species
GCGGGGACUGUGGCUCCCAGGCCUUCCCUGAACUCUGGUCUAGCAGUUUUCUUGUCUCUCAACUUUAGUGGCCAUUGGUCACUGUACUGGAAACCUCGUGUGUCUUUCUCACAUCCUCUUGGCCUCUGAUUCCAGCUGGUGCUGCUGGGAACAGUCGGUGGCUCACUCCUGGCUGACUGCAUGCUGCCUCAGGUGCCUCUCUUUUGCUUUUUCCCCUGCGGCUCCUCUAACCAACUUUCUUGUCUGUUCCCUCUUGUCUGUCCCUGGGCACGUGCACUGUAGUUCUUAGA